rnacentral:rRNA from 1 species
GACGAACGCUGGCGGCGUGCUUAACACAUGCAAGUCGAACGCUGAAGCUCAGCUUUUGUUGGGUGGAUGAGUGGCGAACGGGUGAGUAACACGUGAGUAACCUGCCCCCUUCUUUGGGAUAACGCCCGGAAACGGGUGCUAAUACUGGAUAUUCACUGGUCUUCGCGUGGGGGUUGGUGGAAAGGGUUUUUCUGGUGGGGGAUGGGCUCGCGGCCUAUCAGCUUGUUGGUGGGGUGAUGGCCUACCAAGGCUUUGACGGGUAGCCGGCCUGAGAGGGUGACCGGUCACAUUGGGACUGAGAUACGGCCCAGACUCCUACGGGAGGCAGCAGUGGGGAAUAUUGCACAAUGGGCGCAAGCCUGAUGCAGCGACGCCGCGUGAGGGAUGGAGGCCUUCGGGUUGUGAACCUCUUUCGCUCAUGGUCAGGCCGCAACAAUGGUUGUGGUGAGGGUAGUGGGUAAAGAAGCGCCGGCUAACUACGUG